AUUGAACGCUGGCGGCAUGCUUUACACAUGCAAGUCGAACGGUAACAGGGUGCUUGCACCGCUGACGAGUGGCGAACGGGUGAGUAAUGCGUCGGAACGUGCCGAGUAGUGGGGGAUAACGCAUCGAAAGGUGUGCUAAUACCGCAUACGUACUGAGGUAGAAAGUGGGGGACCUUCGGGCCUCACGCUAUUCGAGCGGCCGACGUCUGAUUAGCUAGUUGGUGAGGUAAAGGCUCACCAAGGCGACGAUCAGUGGCGGGUCUGAGAGGAUGAUCCGCAACACUGGGACUGAGACACGGCCCAGACUCCCACGGGAGGCAGCAGUGGGGAAUCUUGGACAAUGGGCGCAAGCCUGAUCCAGCCAUGCCGCGUGUCUGAAGAAGGCCUUCGGGUUGUAAAGGACUUUUGUCCGGGAGCAAAUACCCAGUGCUAAUAACGCUGGGGGCUGAGAGUACCGGAAGAAUAAGCACCGGCUAACUACGUGCCAGCCGCCGCCGUAAGAC
rnacentral:rRNA from 1 species